rnacentral:rRNA from 1 species
GAUGAACGCUGGCGGCGUGCCUAAUACAUGCAAGUCGAGCGAACAGACGAGGAGCUUGCUCCUCUGACGUUAGCGGCGGACGGGUGAGUAACACGUGGAUAACCUACCUAUAAGACUGGGAUAACUUCGGGAAACCGGAGCUAAUACCGGAUAACAUGUUGAACCGCAUGGUUCAACAGUGAAAGACGGUCUUGCUGUCACUUAUAGAUGGAUCCGCGCCGCAUUAGCUAGUUGGUAAGGUAACGGCUUACCAAGGCAACGAUGCGUAGCCGACCUGAGAGGGUGAUCGGCCACACUGGAACUGAGACACGGUCCAGACUCCUAUGGGAGGCAGCAGUAGGGAAUCUUCCGCAAUGGGCGAAAGCCUGACGGAGCAACGCCGCGUGAGUGAAGAAGGUCUUCGGAUCGUAAAACUCUGUUAUUAGGGAAGAACAAAUGUGUAAGUAACUAUGCACGUCUUGACGGUACCUAAUCAGAAAGCCACGGCUAACUACGU